rnacentral:lncRNA from 1 species
GUCGCCACCAUAGUUUAUUCUGGAAAACUAUGGAAAAAACCAUAAAAAGGAUAAGACAAGAUCUGUGAAAACCAGAGAUGGGUUCGGAAGUCGGUUACGUGUAGGGAAGGUGUUAGCACCCUACAACGCCUGCCCGAAGGCAGUACCUUUAAUUAAAUACGCGAAAUAAGAUGUGGUUUGCAAAAUGUUUAACUAUCCCAAAGAUAACAAUAUAAAGAAACAAAAAUAUUUUUUUUGUUUUUGGGCCCGACAAGGAUUGACCUUGCUCCUACGUAUUCUCAGUCAUAUUGAGAAAUCAGGGUUACGUAGUUCUUUUAGAAAGAUUGAUUGUUUGAAGAUGUUUUUAGUUUUUGAAGAUUUUAUAUUUUUUUG